UUUCACUUCUAUAUUGAUAGGCACUCCAGGGAAUUUCUCGAAUACCUCCUCCAAGCGUGGGAUCUGGUGGUCUUUGCCGUGGGAGAAGCAGCCUGUUGGGAUAAGUAAACUGAGUGGCUUUGGAGGGCUUAGGGCAUUCCUUGCCUGGGCAUAACCCCACCACCUCUUCAUUCCUGAAAUUUUAAGCCACAGUGCCCCUCACCCAAAGCACCUCUACUCACCUGGGGCGAAAGUCACCUCCAGAGACUUCUUAUAGGGUGGCAGAGCCUGUGGGACACAAUUACGAUUGUCAUCGUGGGACACAACCACAACCCCAUCCUUUGUCAAAUGGCAGUCCAGUUCCAGCAGGUUUGUCCCCUGUGACAGGGCACUAAGAAGGUAGAGAGAGGAGUCAGCCAGAGAGCCAGGACAGCAGCUUCUGUGCAGGGGCAGGAUGAGGCACAGAUCAGUGGGAAGACAAAAAGACAGGAAAUAUCCAAUGGAAAAACAAUGAGAGAGACCAAGUUUUAAGAUACUGGAAAUUGUGUGCAAGUUUCCACCACAUUUCAGCUAUAAGCUUUCUUCAUGUGCAUUUCUAAAAUAUACUAACAUAAAUCAACUUUGCAAAAUCUCAAAGGACAACCACACACACACACACAUAUAUAGUUGAAACAUUUAACAAAACCUCAAAUAAAAUGUAUAAUAAUGAUGCACUUACAGCGUAAUCUUGUAAGAACUCUCUAUUUAAAAAGAGAACUGCUUCUUCACUCCAGUUUCUUCACCAAACUUAUGUGAAAGGGAAUAACUAUAUACCCUUCUGACAAGAAACACAGCUGUAACUAAUGGCUGUGUUGAGAGCUCAUGGAUGAUUCCAUUUAAAAGCACAGCUAUAGCUGUUAAUUUUACUAAGGGUUCAUGGAUAAUUUGCUUACAUUUAAAGGGAUGAACUUUAAACUAAAAGGAUGAUAUUUAAAAUAAAGGGAGGCUUUCAAGCUCUUCAUUCAGUCUGUGUGAGGUCAGAGUCUUUAGCUCCAAGAUCCACCAUAUCUCUUUUCUUAAUAGGACUUUAUCAUUGUUUUGAUUAUUCUUUUCUAUUGCCCAGAAUAGUGUAUCAGUUGCUAGAUGAUUCUUUCCCACAAAAUGGCUCACCAUUGCAGCACCUGUUUUCUUAGGCUUAAUAUUAUGCAGAUGUUCCCCUAUCCAGCUUGAGAGGUCUGGAGGUUUUGCCUACAUAUAAUUUCUUGCAUGGGCAUUGUAUGAUAUAAACAACCUUCAGUGUA